rnacentral:rRNA from 1 species
GCCUGUCCCAGUUCGGACUGGAGUCUGCAACCCGACUCCACGAAGUUGGAUUCGCUAGUAAUCGCGCAUCAGCCAUGGCGCGGUGAAUACGUUCCCGGGCCUUGUACACACCGCCCGUCAAGUCAUGGGAGCUGGGGCGCCUGAAGUCCGGGACCGCGAGGACCGGCCUAGGGCGAAACUGGUAACUGGGGCUAAGUCGUAACAAGGUAUC